UUUCCGUAGGUGAACCUGCGGAAGGAUCAUUAUCCAUCUUCAACCAGGUGCGGUCGCGGCCCCCGAGGAGCGGAAACAAUCCUUGGGAGGUAUGCGGGGGCUUCGAGCCCCCCAUUUACGCACGCACGACUGCCAUCCUUACUUUACGAGCACCUUCUGUUCUCCCUCGGCGGGGCAACCUGCCGUUGGAACCGAAUAAACUCUUUUUGCAUCUAGCAUUACCUGUUCCGAAACAAACAAUCGUUACAACUUUCAACAAUGGAUCUCUUGGCUCUGGCAUCGAUGAAGAACGCAGC
rnacentral:misc_RNA from 1 species